UUGCUGUUCAUAGCCAAAAUGAAGAUUCUGCUUCACUAAAUGAAUGUGCCAGACUAUUUUCAGUUCUGCUUUCCAUAUUAUGUGAAGCUCAGUAAAAAAGGUUACCGUUCACUGAUAACAGCGACGAUCAUGACAUGUUGAUUCCUUACUUGGCAACUGAAGCAUGGAUAAGAUCUUUAAACUACUACAUCAUAGAUGAUUGGAGGCCAUGGCACACAAAUGGCCAAGUUGCAGGAUACCCAAGGACUUACUCAUGGCUGAGGUUCUUGAGUGUUUUGAACUUCAACCCGAUAACAGUGUGUUUCUAGAGCUGAUUCCUAUUUUUCCCAAGUCUCAUGCUUCACAGAUUCUUGGAUUUAAGUUUCAAUAUUAUCAGCACAUGGAAGUCAGCUGCCCUGUUCCCUUUGGGCUCUAUAAGCUCACAGCAUUACUGGUGAAACAAGAUUUUAUUGAUAUUGAUAUUGCUGAUGAUGAUAUUGUCUUGUGGUAUAAUUUUAAUUUAUCUAUCUACUCUGCUCUACACUUGUCACAGUUUUUUGAUGGAUAUGAAUAUCAUGAGACAUCAUUUGGGCAGACUUACCAAUGUUACCCUGCGUCGUUUCUUGAGAAGGUUCAAUUUGUUAUAUGAAGAAUGCAUUGAGUUUAAUAAGCUGGGACUUAGAGAUAAUGUUGCGCAGAUAUGUGUACUAGAGUUCAAAACUCAAAAUGGAUCUGUCCCAUCAAGAUGAUUUCUCCCUUUUUUGGCUACAUGACUUUGAACUUUUCUCCUAUUAUAUUUUUUGGUUUUUGAGUAAGUGGAAGUAUCUCGAGUUCUAUUUAUACUGGAAGAAAGAGCCUUCAGCCUCCUACAUGACUUGGCAAAUGGGAUUUUGCUGCAAGUUUCUUAUAGUUAUGACUGAACAAGAUUAACUUUGAACUAUGCAAUAGCUUGGAGUGUGAUAUUUUUAGUACUUCUACAUGAAAUUGCUAACCAUUGCUUUGGGGACCAUUUUGCUUCAUAUAACUCCAACCAAAAUGCUUUCAUGACAGCUUUUGGAUGGAGCUUUUUUUUUUGGGUUGCUUUCUUAAAAUUAAAUAAUUAUUUUAAACAGUUUUUCAAAACCAAUCAAUAAAUUAAUUGUAUGCAAUUAUACAUUGUUGUUGUUUUUAGUCACUGGUUGCACCCUCUUUUGAAUUGGCAUAAAGGUGAAUAAUUUUAUAACCCUACUUACCUUAGUAUGUUAUAUUUGACUUCUUUUUCUUUCUUAUUGAGAUUAAUAUCCUCCAACUCACAUCAAAUUUGGAUAACUAGGAUGUGUUGCUAAUAUUAGCUUCUAAUUAAGGUACAUACGGUGAAGCAUAACUUAUUGUUUGGAUUAUUUGGUUGGUGUGUAAUGCUUGCAUUGCAUAACUUAUUGUUUGGAUUGGAUCAGACGUCUGGCAUUUAUCUAGUGUAUAUGUAUAUAGGACUUUCCCUGGAUAUGUUAUGACUUAUGAGAUUGGAAAGCUAUUCUUUAUAUAUAAAACUUAGUUUCUGUCAGAUUUUAUCUUUAAUCAAAAUUUUCUAUUCACUAAUGGUGUGGAAAUUUAUGGGUGUUGCCAUGGUCAUAGU